rnacentral:rRNA from 1 species
GGCGAACGCUGGCGGCGUGCUUAACACAUGCAAGUCGAACGGAAAGGCCCUGCUUUUGUGGGGUGCUCGUUUGGCGCACGGGUGAGUAACACGCGAGUAACCUGCCCUUGACAUUGGGAUAACUUCUGGAAAAUGGGGCGAAUACCGGAUAGGAUCUCCUGCUGCAUGGGGGGGGUUGGAAAGAUUCGGCGGUUGGGGAUGGACUCGCGGCUUAUCAGCUUGUUGGGGGGGUUGGGGCUUUCCAAGGGUUUGACGGGUAGCCGGCCUGAGAGGGUGACCGGCCACAUGGGGACUGAGGUACGGCCCAGACGCCUACGGGAGGCAGCGGUGGGGAAUAUUGCGCAAUGGGCGGAAGCCUGUUGCAGCAACGCCGCGUGCGGGAUGACGUCCUUCGGGUUGUAAACCGCUUUCGCCUGUGACGAAGCGUGAGUGACGGUAAUGAGUAAAGAAGCACCGGCUAACUACGUG